rnacentral:tRNA from 1 species
GGAGGAAUACCCAAGUCCGGCUGAAGGGAUCGGUCUUGAAAACCGACAGGGGCUUAACGGCCGCGGGGGUUCGAAUCCCUCUUCCUCCG